CUAAGUCUCCAGGCAGAAGUCAGAGAAGCAGAGUGGAGCUCCCAGCACACCCCACGACUCCGUGGGCAGGAGCGACCAGAGGGGCUGGAAUGCUGGGGAGGCCAGGGCCUGCAGUUCUUCAAGGAAGAGGCAAGUGGGGGCCUAGUGAGUGGCAGGGCGGAGGGGGCGCAUGGCUCCCGCGUCAGGCAUAGAAUUCCUCC
rnacentral:lncRNA from 1 species